rnacentral:misc_RNA from 1 species
GAUGAAGAACGUAGCGAAAUGCGAUAAGUAAUGUGAAUUGCAGAAUUCAGUGAAUCAUCGAAUCUUUGAACGCACCUUGCGCUCCUUGGUAUUCCGAGGAGCAUGCCUGUUUGAGUGUCAUGAAACCCUCAAACCCAAGUUUUGGAUUUCGAUCCAUGCUUGAGUUUGGAUUUGGAUGUUUGCCGGUGUUGAACCGACUCAUCUUAAAAGUAUUAGCUUGGAUCUGUCUAUAUGACUGGUUUGACUUGGCAUAAUAAGUAUUUUGCUGAGGACAUCUUCGGAUGGCCAGGACCUAGACUACUGUCUGCUAACUAAACCAUCACUUUAAGUGCAUCUUUGGAUGUUACUCAUUGUGUAACUUUGACAUCUGGCCUCAAAUCAAGUAGGACUACCCGCUGAACUUAAGCAUAUCAAUAAGCGGAGGA